GGAAAAGGAACAUUGAUUGAAGGCUUCCUGGGCAUCAGGUAGUGUCCUGGGUUUUCUUACCAUCUUAUUUCUUUUAAUCCUCCCAGCAGAGUGGGUGGUUAGUAUCUUUAUCCUCAUUUUACAGUUGAGGAAGUUGAAGGCUGCGGGAACUGUAGGAUGCUUGCUAGUUUUCUCCAUCGCCCGAAGUCACUUUGCAGGCAGGUUGGAAUCUGCUGGAAGCAAUCACUGCCACAGAAGUAUGAAUGAGCCACACCGGUCCACCCCGAGAUGUCUGCCUGUCACUGGGAGAAAACAGCUCCUGCUGGGUUUUCUGAACACUCAUCAGCUGGCAAAAUGACCCAACCCCAGAUGCCCAGGCCAGUGCAGGCCUGGAGGAGUUGGUGCCCGAAGACGGAUUCUUUACCACUAGUGCUACGUGGGAAGCCCUUUGCUAUGGGAAACUAUAUUUUUAAUAGAGAUGAGCCUCAGAGGCAAGGAAUCUUGACAGAUGGAGGCACUGAAGCUAGGAGCCAAUUUAGGAGGGGACAGUGGAGGGGCCAUUCAGACCACGGUGGCUGGUGGUCCCUCGGCCAGUAGCUGGAGUUAAAGGAGUCUUCCAUGGGAUCCUGCGUGGGUGCUCACUGGGUCCCGAAGUAGGGCUUGGGUACAGGUCCAUGGUCCAUCUGCUUGGAGAUGCAAUUUCUUCUUUGUAAAUGAGAGCAGUGAUACACACCUUGUGGGUUUGUUACUAAGAGUAAAUGGAGCAAAACACCAAGCAAGUUCUUAGCACUUAGUAGCUGCUCAAUAAAUAAUGGUUAUUAUGAUUCGUGUAACUGUUAUUUUUGCUUUGUCUGUUAUUAUCCUCUGGCACAUUCUGCCUUUGGGGAUUUCCGGGGAGGCCCUGGGUUCAGGAGCUCUUGUGUCACAGACUAGCUCUGACUCCUUCUGAUACCUGGCACAUCUACCUUCUCAUGGAUUAUGUGUUUUUUUGGUGUUUGGGCAGUGUAAUUACUCACAAUUUUUAUUUUCACAAGUUUUCUGACAUAGAUUAAUUUCAUAAUCAGAAAAAAAGGUUAUCACAACAUAUUGCUUAACAAAAACAAUUAUAAAAGAGUAAUAUAGAACAUUUGCUGUUUAAAAAUAUAUAUGUACAUAAAGAU
rnacentral:lncRNA from 1 species